rnacentral:rRNA from 1 species
CAAUCUGCCCUUCACUCUGGGACAAGCCCUGGAAACGGGGUCUAAUACCGGAUAUGAGCCUGGGAGGCAUCUCCCGGGUUGUAAAGCUCCGGCGGUGAAGGAUGAGCCCGCGGCCUAUCAGCUUGUUGGUGAGGUAAUGGCUCACCAAGGCGACGACGGGUAGCCGGCCUGAGAGGGCGACCGGCCACACUGGGACUGAGACACGGCCCAGACUCCUACGGGAGGCAGCAGUGGGGAAUAUUGCACAAUGGGCGAAAGCCUGAUGCAGCGACGCCGCGUGAGGGAUGACGGCCUUCGGGUUGUAAACCUCUUUCAGCAGGGAAGAAGCGAAAGUGACGGUACCUGCAGAAGAAGCGCCGGCUAACUACGUGCCA